CUACGGGUCGCAGCAGUGGGGAAUAUUGCACAAUGGGCGCAAGCCUGAUGCAGCCAUGCCGCGUGUAUGAAGAAGGCCUUCGGGUUGUAAAGUACUUUCAGCGGGGAGGAAGGGAGUAAAGUUAAUACCUUUGCUCAUUGACGUUACCCGCAGAAGAAGCACCGGCUAACUCCGUGCCAGCAGCCGCGGUAAUACGGAGGGGUGCAAGCGUUAAUCGGAAUGACUGGGCGUAAAGCGCACGCAGGCGGUUUGUUAAGUCAGAUGUGAAAUCCCCGGGCUCAACCUGGGAACUGCAUCUGAUACUGGCAAGCUAGAGUCUCGUAGAGGGGGGUAGAAUUCCAGGUGUAGCGGUGAAAUGCGUAGAGAUCUGGAGGAAUACCGGUGGCGGAGGCGGCCCCCUGGACGAAGACUGACGCUCAGGUGCGAAAGCGUGGGGAGCAAACAGGAUUAGAUACCCGCGUAGUC
rnacentral:rRNA from 1 species